GCGUCGGUAGUGCAAUGGUUCAACACGCGCUCUCGGAAAGAGUGAGAUCUGGGUUCGAAUUCCGCCUGAUGCA